CCUACAUUAAAUAUCCUAGUUAGAACGGUUUUGAAUACAUUUGAUUUUUUUUUUCUUAACGUAAAGCAUGGUGAAGAGGAUUAUAAAAUCCAUAAUUAAGCAAAGUGGAACAGGGAGUGUGCCCUGAUGGAGUAGGAAGAGACCUGGAAAGUGAUGGUUGACAAUAUGUCUAGAGCGUUAAUGGCACCAUCAAGAAGAAAAGAGACAAAGGAGACAUCGGCCUUAACGCGGCGAGAAUGGAAGGUAGGUCAAGGGCAGAGGAUAAUGGCAUCGUCGUGCAAGGUGUGCUUAAUUUUUAGUGGG